GGAAGUUACGCGUGGAGGCGGCACCUAGUGGCAGAGGGAGUCGUAGUGGGAGGGGCGCGGUGUUUGUGGUGAGCUGGGAGCCUUCGAUCCUCCGCAGUUUUUACAGAGCACUAAGAUCUAUGGAUUCCAACAUGGACUUCAUGUAAAGAAACCCACAGACCAUUAAUGGACAAAACCAUGAAUCAAUUUGUACUGUGGCAUGCAAAUCCUAGCACUUUGGGAGAGCAUCAAGUGCCGAGAUUUUGAAGACCAGCGUCACUGUGCAUUCAAGAGUUGAGUGAGAGUAACCUCAGCAAGACUUAGAUCCUCGUCAGAGGCUUCAAGUGUCAUCUUCCUUAAAGUUCUCCACUGAACUCUCUCACAAAGCAAAAGCCGAAAGAGAAUAAAAUCCAAGAAUACAGUUUUUAGUAGCCCUUCCUCUAACUUCCCUUCAAUUUUCUUGGCCACUAGGGACCUUCCUAUCGCUUAUGUUUCUUUAGACAGGAACUAAAGAAACGUAUGUUCUGUGGCCGUCAGUUUUGUUUUGGUUUGGUUUUUCUCCGGUACCGGGAACCGAACUCACGACCUUGCGCUUGCCAGGCAGGCGCUUUGCCGCUGAGCUAAAUCCCCAGCCCCUGUGGCCGUAAGUUUUAUUGGCAGAGAAGCAUAAACUUGGUGGGAUAAGUUUGGAAUUACGUCUUUUGUUAUUUUUUAGAAAAGUUUUAGAUCAGUAAUAUAAAAAUGAAGAUUAAGUUUUUAACACAUAUGAGAUUGGAAUGCAUGUUUAGCAUGUAUAAAGCCCUGGGUUGAAUUUUCAGCUAAAUAAAAUAUUUAAAAUGUUAUAUAGUUUAGUAUAUUAAUUUAUAUUUAUAUAUAAAUUAUAUAUUAACAAAUAUAUUUAUAUAUUAAUAACAUUAGUGUAGCUUAUAUUUUUGUAUAUUUAAAGUAUGCGUUUUUGAGGUUAAAUUACACUUUCAGAAACUAUAUGGUCUAGAGAAAAGAGCCACAACCUAAAAGCAGAAGGUUCUUCUGUCUCCACCACCACUUUUUUUUAUUUUGGCGGCAGGGGGUGCCGGGACUCAAACUCAGGACCUUGUGUGCCAGGCAGGCGCUGCGCCACCGAGCUGCAUCCCCAGCCCCUCCACCACCACUUCUUAACUAGCUGCACGAGAGCCAGGAAAAGCUACUUCACCUCCUUGAGCCAGAGCUUCAUUAUCUGUAAAAUGAGCCUUACAUUUUCCCCACCUACCUCACAGGGUUGUUGUGAGGAUCCAGUGAAAUCAUGUACAUAAAAAAGACUAAUAAAAUGUGUGAUACGGACAUUA